rnacentral:lncRNA from 1 species
GUACCAUGUUUGUACUGAUUUUCUUUAUUGUUUAGUUUUACAUUUUUUGGAUCUAACUUGAUUGGAUUUUGACAGUUGAGAAGGCCAAGUACUCCUACAUUGUUGGGUUUCUUCUCACUGUUUCACCUGAGUCCAUUCUUCUAGUUGCUGAGCAUGCAGCUGCAAAGAACAAGGUUUGUCAUUGUGGCAGGAGGUUUCAAUAUUCAAAUCCAGUUCAUCCCUCCGUUUAUUUAACAUGCUCCCUUUGCUAGUAGUACAUUUUAAUUCUCUCUAGUCUGUUGGUGGGUUGUUUUGCAGCUUGAAGCUGCUGCAGUCAACUUAGUUGCUGGAGAGAAACCUGGCGAUGUUUACUCAGAAAUUGCUUCAAGGUAUGGUGUAUAAGUAUGUACUGUUAACAUAGGACUUUAAAUUGGGACAAACUGAACAUGAUUUUUUUCUUCUUUAUUUGCAGACUUGUAUACUUUGACAUGCCAUGUAGAUCACACUUGCCUUUAACUGUCCAGAUUUGAGCUUAGGCAACACUUCAGAAACAACCUUCUGCAUGUGGACAUGGUUCAGCCGGUUGUUACUUCCAUUUACGACUAUUUCCGAGAGGAAUGUGAUUUUUGUCUAUAAUGUAUCUCUUGGUUAUUCACUCUAUUGCUUUGGAUAAUUAAUUUUAUCUUUUCUUAUAGUUUUACUGAUAUAAAGUUCUUUAUUUAAAUGGAAUACCUGCUACGACUCAGAGUUGCACAUCAUAGAUGGGAUCCCACAGCUUAUUUUUGUUCGUUCAAGCUACAACAUAGAGGUUUGGUUCUUUUGUUAGUUUUAUGUCAUGUUUCAAACAAGCAUUUCAGACCAGGUGACUGAAUCUCCUUAAUUUGAAUCUCUCAUGAGCCUGUAUUUUGGGAUGGUAUAGCCAUAUAAUUUUGUAUUAUUUUGCUUAAAUGUCAGGUGUUAAUUUGGAUUGUUAUACCCAGUUUAAGUGCUUCCACCACUUAGUUUGUGUAGGUUAAGCCAAUUAGCUUCUAUCUAACGUAAAAACCCUGAGUUCCAUUUACGCUCACCUUAAUAUUUCUUAGCCCGUAUUGUUACAUCUUCCAUUUGAUUCUUCAUGAUCAUUAAUAAAUUUAUAUACUUGCAUGGGAAUUUCAAAUUGGGGGGACAUAAAGCCAUUGGAUCCAAAAACUGUAGCAAGUGUUGUUCAAUAUGGGAGACUAAGUUUAUUAUUGGUUCAUGAAGCAAAAGGGGACUCUCAUUUACAAUCAACUUUAUUCAUUUCAUUGCAUUACUAUUAACUUAGUGGAAACAGGGAAAUAUAAUUAUAUGAUUUUUAAGUCUUGCUAUGUUGUUGAAUUGUAUUGAACUUGCGUUAUUAGCCUAAAUAUAGUUAUUGAAACAGGUUCAGUAUUGUGAUUUUGUCCACUUUCUCUUGCUGAAGUGUAUGUUUAUUGACAUUUUUAUCUUGGGAUGUAUUUUGAAUGGUAUUAUUGGGAUGUAUUUUGAAUGGUUGAUACAUUUUGGCUAUAUAUCAUGACAUUAGCAUAUUGCAGGUGCAUUGGUAAUAUAGGUGAACCACAUCUUUUUUUUAUCUAUAACAUUUAAAAAACGUUGUCUGAUAUACUAAACAAUAACAUUUUUAUCCAAAAAACGCUGUGC